AUGCUACCGAUCUGCAUGCAACAACAACUCCUCCAUCAUCACUGCAACAUCUGCGGUCAGCCACCGCUUACCCACACCACCCCAGUACCGCCGCCGUUUUCCACUGUCUCAAUCGCCAACGCGGCCCUCCAUACUCUAAGUGGUGGUUUCUGUCUCUUAUUAUUUCUCAUGUUGACUUUAAUUUAUUUUUUUUGCUUUUAUUUGCAAGGAAGAAUGAGAGGAAUUUAA